rnacentral:rRNA from 1 species
GACGAACGCUGGCGGCGUGCUUAACACAUGCAAGUCGAACGGAAAGGCCUGCUUUCCCUUGUGGAUUGCGGGUACUCGAGUGGCGAACGGGUGAGUAACACGUGAGUGAUCUGCCCCCAACUUGGGUAUAAGCCUGGGAAACUGGGUCUAAUUCCCGAUAGGACUGCAGGGUGGUGCCUGUGGUGGAAAACGAGUUUCUAGUGGUUGGGGAUGAGCUCGCGGCCUAUCAGCUUGUUGGUGGGGUAAUGGCCUACCAAGGCGGCGACGGGUAGCCGGCCUGGGAGGGUGGACGGCCACAUUGGGACUGAGAUACGGCCCAGACUCCUACGGGAGGCAGCAGUGGGGAAUAUUGCACAAUGGGCGGAAGCCUGAUGCAGCGACGCCGCGUGGGGGAUGACGGCCUUCGGGUUGUAAACUCCUUUCGACCGCGAGGAAGCCACCUGGUUGGAAGGGUGGUGACGGUAGUGGUAGAAGAAGCACCGGCUAACUACGUG